rnacentral:rRNA from 1 species
CAGUCGCCACGGUAAUACGUAGGUGGCAAGUGUUGUCCGGAAUUAUUGGGCGUAAAGGGCUCGCAGGCGGUUUCUUAAGUCUGAUGUGAAAGCCCCCGGCUCAACCGGGGAGGGUCAUUGGAAACUGGGAAACUUGAGUGCAGAAGAGGAGAGUGGAAUUCCACGUGUAGCGGUGAAAUGCGUAGAGAUGUGGAGGAACACCAGUGGCGAAGGCGACUCUUUGGUCUGUAACUGACGCUGAGGAGCGAAAGCGUGGGGAGCGAACAGGAUUAGAUACCCGUGUAGUCCCUGUCUCUUAUAC